UGGUUUGCCUGUAUUCAUUUACAAGGAAAUUUCGUUUUUAGGUCCAUACGGCGUACAGCCGAUCCAAUACAGGCCAACAUAUGUAUAUUUGUUUGUUUCUCCCUUAUGAUGGGACUUUAUAGGAUGAACGCUGAGAUAUUUAAGGACACGGGGUGACCAAUAAGAUUUGAAUUGAUCUGUAAUAAAGUAGGCACUGAUAAGGGGUUGACAGGUAUAGAUACUUAAUAAGUAAUUGAAGUUAAAACUGAACUCUUUUGUCACAAAAUCCUUCAUAAGAAUUCGGGGAUAUUGGUGGGUUGACUUUAUUUCAAACUAAAGCAUACUCGUGGAAGCUGAGAUGGGACUAAUGACCUCCUUGAUAAACGUGCACGUGGCACGUGUUUCCGAAUGGUAUAACCUACCAACCAGCUUCUCUGUGCUGAAAUGGCAUCAGCCAUAAGGAGGUGGAAGAGACGAAGAGGGUGAUUAUGUGCUGCAUGGCUUCAGCAGAUGGAUGACCAUUAUUGAGGGUUGGGCAUGGUAAGGACGUUGGGUUGGGAGGUCGCCAAGGGGAAUCCAGAUGGCUGGCACCUCGAAUUGGAUGUGGCAAUGCGCUGUCGUGCCGUAUGCUGCCAUAUCUGAUCUGAUCUGACAAUGAGGUCGCUGACGCCAUUUCCUUUUACACUGCUGUGCCAAAAACGGUAAAUCACGCAAAAACAAAGAAAAUGCUUAAAAUAACAAAUCGUGCCUUCAACUGUUACCAAGAGACACAGCAUCAUCCCACAUGCCACAGCUAUUUUAUAUAUAAAAUUAUUAAAAUCAACUUUCAUAUAAAAUGUAACUAUACAUAAAUUAACCUCCAUUAGCCAAUUAGCUAACAGUAAAUUAACAUUGAUGUCUCAUAAUUAUCAUUAAAGUGUAUUAUUAUUAAUUUUAAAAUGUACACCUAAGCUCCAAGACAAUGCACGCUUACCCAUCUUCAGCCUUUUCAAAAUGAAUUUGUAAGCUGCUGUCUGGGCGUGGCCUAAUGUGUACUUGUGACUUAGGUUGCAAUCCCUGAGUUACUAUGCAUUACGUGAUACUUCACCUUACUGAUAGUAACUGUAUGGUGCACUUUAUGCCUUAAUUCACGUGUCAUUUUCACCCGAACACGUAAAAUGCAGCAGCAAGAUACCAAACUCUCAAUUUCCACAGGGGGACUCUGACAUGCUGUUGAGUGAUCAAUUGUAUGUGCGAUUCAUCACAGGUAAGUCCACACCUGCUACACAGUACAAUGAAGAUCUGGGUGUCUGUUAAUUUGUUUUGUAUUCUUUUACAGGAAUCCUGACCUGCAUUCAUUAAAUAAUGGACCGGUGUCAUCUUCUCAUAUUUCUAAUACUCUACCAAACAUCGGCAACACCCAUUCCAACCACAACUCCCACUGCAACCACAACUCCCACGCCAACAACAGAUGUGCCAUAUGGCAAGCUGCAUUACAGAGCCAUCAUUACGAUCACCCUUGGAGUCCAUGCUGCAGUCCUUAUUAUCAUUUAUAUUUGCUGGAAGAGAAAAUACUGGCAUUCAGUAAUCUGUAGAACAGCAGCCCCGCAUCGUGAAGUAAUUCUACUGAAUAAUAUCGGAGGAAGAGAGUUAGAAAGAUGCAUCCAGAGCCCCUCAAACAGCUUUUAAGUUGCACCGGACAGGCUUGGAUGAAGAUGGAGAAUGCAAGACCCCAACUUAGAGAAGCCAGAAGUCUGGUCAACCAUUCCCAAUCAUCUUUAACGAAGGCAGCAAUUUUACCGAGAGGCUUUCCAGUGUAAACAAUCAACACUCAUAGAGUGAAUGUUUAAGAUACCAACAAAUUAUAGAGAUUCUGUUGAACCUAUAUACCGUGUUAGUUCCGUGUAAAGCUAUAAAAAAAAUCCUUGCUUGGCUAGGACAACGCCGAUCUCAGGCUGUCCUGGUCUCUCCCUGAAGCUUUGUCUGUUAAAUGUGGUUUUGUCCUCUGUUUACAAUUUAAUUUAACCCGCCCAUAAAUGUUGUCACUUUACAAGAAUUCAAAUCAUAAAUUGCUGCCUUAGCAACCGAGUCAGCAAUGAUUGACAUAGAAACACAUAUUCACAGAGACGUGACUACUGACAGAUUCACCCAUAGAUACCAACAAAUUAUAGAGAUUCUGUUGAACCUAUAUACCGUGUUAGUUCCGUGUAAAGCUAUAAAAAAAAAUCCUCGCUUGGCUAGGACAACCCGAUCUCAGGCUGUCCUGGUCUCUCCCUGAAGCUUUGUCUGUUAAAUGUGGUUUUGUCCUCUGUUUACAAUUUAAUUAAACCCGCCCAUAAAUGUUGUCGCUUUACAAGAAUUCAAAUAAUAAAUUGCUGCCUUAGCAACCGAGUCAGCAAUGAUUGACAUAGAAACACAUAUUCACAGAGACGUGACUACUGACAGAUUCACCCAUAGACUUUCACAGAUAAAUAGACUCAGACUCACGGAGUGGAACUGGUUUAGCUUUAGAGAGUAAGGAUCCAUUACAAUUUCUCAAUGUAAUUAUUUGGCUUCUGACAUGAUGUUAAACGCACAAUGAAACAAUGAUAAAUUAAGGGGAAAAAUAUACGGAAAGUACUUUUUUAUCACUAUAUAUGUUUAGUCUUUAUACCUACAUUCUGUAUACAUUAUAAGGUCACACUCAUUACACACAAAGUGCUUGCCACAAAUGAACCACAAUAGCGUGCUGAUCUCGUCAAAGAACAUAAACUAUCAUUAUGCGAACU